rnacentral:rRNA from 1 species
AGCGAACGCUGGCGGCAGGCCUAACACAUGCAAGUCGAACGAACUCUUCGGAGUUAGUGGCGGACGGGUGAGUAACACGUGGGAACGUGCCUUUUGGUUCGGAAUAACUCAGGGAAACUUGUGCUAAUACCGAAUGUGCCCUUCGGGGGAAAGAUUUAUCGCCAUUAGAGCGGCCCGCGUCUGAUUAGCUAGUUGGUGAGGUAACGGCUCACCAAGGCGACGAUCAGUAGCUGGUCUGAGAGGAUGACCAGCCACACUGGGACUGAGACACGGCCCAGACUCCUACGGGAGGCAGCAGUGGCGAACCUUGCGCAAUGGGCGAAAGCCUGACGCAGCCAUGCCGCGUGAAUGAUGAAGGUCUUAGGAUUGUAAAAUUCUUUCACCGGGGACGAUAAUGACGGUACCCGGAGAAGAAGCCCCGGCUAACUUCGUG